AAGAACCCUUUUGGAACCCUUAUUUCUAAGAGUAUACUUUCCAAGCACUAGGGAUGGGGGAGUGUCUGCAGUUGAAUAAUGCAGGAUCCACUUUCUUAGAAAACACGCUAAGUCACUAUUUCAGCUUUACAGACAUAGGCUAGAACAGUGCCCUUGGGUUUGGAUAUGGUGUUUAGUGACUCAUUCCUUAACAUCACUAAGAAGCUGUCCAUAUUCAUGGCAGAGGUGGUGGGAAAGUGGAGAGUAAGAUGGACAUGAGGUUUGGUGCAUCAUCAGCAGUACUUCAGACUGUGGCAGACCAUAAUGGGGAAGAGGAAACUCAGUAGUAAGGCAAAGCUUUCGAAUUACCUGUUGAUCUACGUUCCAAACGUCACCUGUGACCAGGAGCUGUGGGUAUUGACUGGAAGACUGGCAUUGUGGAUACAGGCAGCCAAAAUAAGUUUCCCUCAUAGGGUGGCUGGGCUCAGCUUUAGGGAUAGGAUGAGGAGCUCAGAGUGGGCCACUCCUUCACACCAACAGGAGCCAACUAAGGUGUUUCUUGCAUUUGAUUAGGAUUCUUCCUGGGCAGUUACCUCCCUUUGGAGGUUUUCAGGGCACAGCCAACUGCACUGCCUGGCACUGCAUUGGGGCAGACCCAGAACUCACUGAAGGGAUUAUAUGACUUAUAUAUCUCUGGCCCUCCUUGGGAUCCCUCGGAGAAGGCCAAAAACUUUGCUGUAGAUAGAAACGUCUGGAAUACCCUGCUCAACCUGCUCCCAGAGCAACCUGACCCUGGAUAAACAAGCAAACACAGCACAAACACACAGCCAUAAACAGGACAGGCCUGAGGACACAUUGGCAGGCGCUUACAUCAUCUUCAGGUAGAACAAUUGUGGAUUGCUGGUGAGGCAGCAUCAAGAGGAGGACUGCUACGUAGCUUAACUGGUGAGGAGAGCUGACUAUGUGGUUGGAAUCGAACUGGACUCACUUCACGUUAGGCAAGAUAAUGUGUGUGUGAUUGCCUAAAGCAAAUUAAUGUGUUUAAUGGAAUGGCCAAUUACGAUAUCAUGUGAUAUAAUAUUUCACCCUUUUUCAGUGAUCUUUUCUCCCUCCAGUUUUCUUGUGCUCCUCACUGCCUGAUUUUCCCUUGUAUCCGGUUAAUUAG